UAAAACCACCCCUCGGUCUUCAUCCCUCCCACACAUCAACAGCAUCACAGAAUAGUUUCUUUCUCUCUUUCCCCUCCUCAUUGCUAGAUGUAGAUGUAGAUGUAGAAUCCGUUCCAUAUCUUCUAGCCCCAUAGAUAGAUGUAGCCUAUUGUCUUCCAAGUUGUUCCCAGCAUGCCUCCUUGGAUGCUGAUGCGUAGAUCUCGGUUCUUCUCUGUUUUUGCUUGUUUUUCUGUGAUCCGUUUGCUGUGUUUUGGAUUUGGUUUGGAGGUGGAGCUCCUAUCAUUCCAAUGAAGGGUCUACCGGAAGGGUUUGUGCAGCUGCUUGUUCAUGGUUCCCACUAUCCUAUCUCCAUUAGAACACGAGGAGAUAGGCUUGUGGUUUGCAUGAUCGAGGAGCCGCUUCGAUCCCUCGCUGACCGCUGUUUGGAUUGAAGGGAGCUCUGCAUCUUGAUCUAUUACUAAUUAGUUUCCUCUUCUGCUGCAUGCAAGCCUGGAAAUGUUUUGCAGAUUUUUCUCCUCCACGGUCCAGAUCUGGGUGCAAGCUGUUUCUUGCGUUUAGAUCUCUCCUUGAGCUUGAACUUUUCAAGCUGUGAUUGUAUGACCCCGGUGUUUUGUUUUCCCCUCAAGGAUUUGAUAGAGGACGGAUUGAUGCCUUCUGCUCUGGUGGAAACUUUUUGGGAAGUUGGAAUCUAUAAGUGACCUAGGCUAUGUUGAAGCUCUAGUUACCUAGGCUAUGUAUAGUGCUGUCCUUGUGCUUACUCUGUAAAUCUGGCACCGUAUGUGGUAGCUUAGGCUUGUAACUGUUAGCUCAGUGUCUAUUCUUUUGAAGAGUAUGUAAUCAGUCUCUGUUUGAGCAAAAUAUGAAACAAUUUACUGAAAUUA